AUCCAGCUGAUGAGUUUCAAGUAGGACGAAACGCGCGUAUUAGAU
rfam:Schistosoma curassoni strain Dakar, Senegal genome assembly, scaffold: SCTD_scaffold0001968